rnacentral:rRNA from 1 species
UACGUAGGGUGCAAGCGUUAAUCGGAAUUACUGGGCGUAAAGCGUGCGCAGGCGGUUAUAUAAGACAGAUGUGAAAUCCCCGGGCUCAACCUGGGAACUGCAUUUGUGACUGUAUAGCUAGAGUACGGCAGAGGGGGAUGGAAUUCCGCGUGUAGCAGUGAAAUGCGUAGAUAUGCGGAGGAACACCGAUGGCGAAGGCAAUCCCAUGGGCCUGUACGGACGCUCAUGCACGAAAGCGGGGGGAGCACACAGGCUGCGAUAACACCGUAGUCC